AAUCCAUGGUGUGGACAAGAUUCCAAUAGCCACUUGAAUCGAAUCCAAUACUCAUAUAAGGUCUCUUGAUCCUUUUGCAUUAUACUAGAGAUUUCUUUUCGGAUGUA